GGGGGUAUAGCUCAGUGGUAGAGCAUGGGCUUGGAGUGCAUGAGGUCCUGGGUUCAAUCCCCAGUGCCUCUG
rnacentral:tRNA from 1 species